rnacentral:rRNA from 1 species
GAUGAACGCUGGCGGCGUGCUUAACACAUGCAAGUCGAACGAAGCACUUUAGUGGAACCUCCGGGGGAAGCUGUUGUGACUGAGUGGCGGACGGGUGAGUAACGCGUGGGUAACCUGCCUUACACAGGGGGAUAACAGUUAGAAAUGACUGCUAAUACCGCAUAACCUGCUAGUACCGCAUGGUACAGGCAGAAAAGAUUUUAUCGGUGUAAGAUGGACCCGCGUCUGAUUAGCUUGUUGGUGGGGUAACGGCCUACCAAGGCAACGAUCAGUAGCCGGCUUGAGAGGGUGACCGGCCACAUUGGGACUGAGACACGGCCCAAACUCCUACGGGAGGCAGCAGUGGGGAAUAUUGCACAAUGGGGGAAACCCUGAUGCAGCAACGCCGCGUUGAGUGAAGAAGUAUUUCGGUAUGUAAAGCUCUAUCAGCAGGAGAAAAUGACGGUACCUGACUAAGAAGCCCCCGGNUAACUACGUG